AUAGCUGUCACAGUCGUUAUUACAAUGGCAAAGCAGUUGACCUUGACAACGGUCGGAACAGCCUCUUUCUGUCAAAGUGCAGAGAAUACAGUGGAGUUGAACCAUUAAACGAAGGAAAUCAUAUCCGUUGUGUAUUCGCUUAGGCAGUUGAAAGCAAAUCUUUUGUUUCGCUGACACAUUCAACAUUUUUAUUAAAUCUAUGUUUAGUUUUGGAUAUUAUGUUAAGCAAUCAAGAGAAAUAAU
rnacentral:lncRNA from 1 species